AGCUCUUUGCUGGGCCACGCUUGCAGGAAGCCCAGAACAGGCCGAGCAACGUGGCUCGCGCGCUCCACCCCGUGCCUCUUAGGGAAAACUGAGGCGGGAGGCGAGGAAUCGGAGAGAAGGAAACUGAGGCGGGAGGCGAGGAAUCGGAGAGAAGGAAACUGAGGCGGGAGGCGAGGAAUCGGAGAGAAGGAAACUGAGGCGGGAGGCGGGAGGCGAGGCGGUUGGCGACGGAUCGGAGAGACUCUCGCCGGCGCACGGGUUGAGCUGCUCUUCUGUCCGAGAUUGUGGUGUUUUACUUCUGUCUGUAGUGGCGUUCUUCUCCCAGGUUGAAGGGCAUGGAGUGGCUGGACAUUUUGGUUCUUGUUGCUGCAGUUAUCACCACGGUGCCAUCCCUGAAUCGACGGAAUAUCUAUAUCAUAUUAUCGGGAUACUGGUGUUGAGUUUAUUAUCAUAUUAUGUACAAAUUGAUGGACAAUAUUUUUGUAUUAUCUGGAACGUGAUGGAUGUUGUCAUACUAUCUGGAACUACAUGGAUGUUGUCGUGGAAUCAAGAAUGCAUAUGCUCUUUAUUUGAUGCAUUAGCGUGUUAGAAGUUCCGUCACGGAUGCACGAACACGAAUGUUAUUUCGUUGGUUUCAACUUUCAAGCGCAUGGACGCAAUUUUUAGGAUACUAUUUUUUGGCCAUACCGAACCUAGGAGGUAAUGUUAUGUUUACCUAACAUAUUUUGGAUUUUAUUUAUUAUGACUUUCUACCUACAUUUAUACUUACAUGUGAACUUGUGGAAAGGGUUCAAUGGAAUAUCUACAUCGUUUAUCUGGAACUGAUGGGCAUUAUUGUCAUAUUAUCUGGAACUUGAUGGACAUCGUCAUGGAAUAAAAAAAAUCUUCUAUAUUACUUGUUGUUUUAGCAUGCUACAAAUUUCAUUACGGAUGCAUGAAGACGAUUCUAUUUCGUUGUUUCAAGCAUGCGUAUGAAAUUUUUAGUUUGCUAUUUUUUCAAAGUACCACCCGGGAGGCAAUGAUAAGGGGAGGCCAUGGAGAAUGAUACAGGCAGCAAAUGCAGAUGACAACUUGCUAGUAUUGCCACUUCUGCAGGUGCCGGAGGUUGACUUGCCUCUCGCUAGGAGACUCCAGUCUUGGCAAUUUUCUAUUCUUCUUCACAGUUUCACGGUACUGUGGUGCAUUUGGAAGGACGAUCAGACAACUAGUGCUAGGUAUUUUGGUCCGGCAUUUCUUCUCGUUUGAAGCAUCGCUCUGCUAGGAUUCUGGCUGCGAUGCUACCCUAUUACUGAGGAUGUAUUUGCUACUGGGCUUACUAUUUGCAUAGGCUGUUGGCUCUUUCUUCUGCUAAUAUUCACAGAGAUGAUUUGCAACAAGAUUACCAAUAUUAGCAUCACUCUGGAGAUCUUGCUCAUAGCUUUUACUGUGUGCAUGCAUGUGCUACGGUUUGCGGCUCAGGAUUUGUUUGUAUUAAACUGGGUACGCCUUAUCAUUGCUGCUCUGGGGUGUAUUCCUGGAGCCGUAACACUUCUUAGACUUCAUGAACUUUUCUCCAAACCUCCUGUUGUGUUGGUAGAUCUUAUUAUAGAAGGCCACAUAUUGUUCAAGACAGCCACUAUCAUCAAUUCAUUGUUCAGACUGCUUGAUGUGAUUUUCAUAAGUAUUGCUGCAACUAGAGUGAAUGCCAAUUACUUGCAAGGGAGACUGCAGGAGUGUUUCCACUGAGACAGGAUUGUGUUGGCAAGGUUCAUCAACUACGUUGUGAUACCUGCAUUGAUCCCUUGGAGUUAGCUUGUUUGAAGAUAGGAUGGAUCAUGGAUGACAUCAAGUUCCACCCCGUCGGGCAUUCCACCAACACAACGAAAUUUGUUCCUGAUAUUCGUUUACGGGUAUCUGUACAGAGGUUCUCAAUACCAAAUGUAUAUAUAUGUCACAAAAAAUUGUUACUCACAACCGUCCCUCUUGGCUUUUGAGGUAUUGCCUUGGAUGUGCAGAAAAUACAGUCUUAUCUGCUGGUGCAAAACUCAUGUAAAUCAGAACUGUGUCUGAUUUCUAGAAAGCUACUACUGGAUGUAAUAUUUGACAGCACCAGAGAUAUGAUUGUUAUAAUGCUUUACCACUUC